CAUUUGCGUUAGGGAUUGCAGUGAAAAUCCUUUUUACAAGGAACGAAUAAAAAGAUUGAAACGGAAAGCCCGACCUUUU
rnacentral:sRNA from 1 species